UACGAAGGGGGCUAGCGUUGCUCGGAUUUACUGGGCGUAAAGGGCGCGUAGGCGGACAGUUAAGUUGGGGGUGAAAGCCCGGGGCUCAACCUCGGAAUUGCCUUCAAUACUGGCUGUCUUGAGUGCGGGAGAGGUGUGUGGAACUCCGAGUGUAGAGGUGAAAUUCGUAAGAUAUUCGGAAGAACACCAGUGGCGAAAGGCGACACACUGGCCCGUUACUGACGCUGAGGCGCGAAAGCGUGGGGAGCAAACAGG
rnacentral:rRNA from 1 species